GACGAACGCUGGCGGCGUGCCUAACACAUGCAAGUCGAGCGAGAUUAAGUGUAGUGGAGACUUCGGUCAAAGUGAAGCUUAUGAAAGCGGCGGACGGGUGAGUAACGCGUGGGCAACCUGCCCCAUACAGAGGGAUAGCCACUGGAAACGGUGAUUAAUACCUCAUAAGUCAGUAGGAUCGCAUGAUUUAGCUGACAAAGAUUUAUCGGUAUGGGAUGGGCCCGCGUCUGAUUAGCUAGUUGGUGAGGUAACGGCUCACCAAGGCGACGAUCAGUAGCCGACCUGAGAGGGUGAUCGGCCACACUGGAACUGAGACACGGUCCAGACUCCUACGGGAGGCAGCAGUGGGGAAUAUUGCACAAUGGGCGCAAGCCUGAUGCAGCAACGCCGCGUGAGUGAUGAAGGCCUUCGGGUUGUAAAACUCUGUCCUAUGGGAAGAAACAAAUGACGGUACCAUGGGAGGAAGCCCCGGCUAACUACGUGCCAGCCGCCGCCGUAA
rnacentral:rRNA from 1 species